AUUGAACGCUGGCGGCAUGCCUUACACAUGCAAGUCGAACGGCAGCACGGGAGCAAUCCUGGUGGCGAGUGGCGAACGGGUGAGUAAUAUAUCGGAACGUGCCCAGUAGUGGGGGAUAACUGCUCGAAAGAGCAGCUAAUACCGCAUACAACCUAAGGGUGAAAGGGGGGGAUCGCAAGACCUCUCGCUAUUGGAGCGGCCGAUAUCAGAUUAGCUAGUUGGUGGGGUAAAGGCCUACCAAGGCAACGAUCUGUAGUUGGUCUGAGAGGACGACCAGCCACACUGGUACUGAGAGACGGCCCGGACUCCAACGGGAGGCAGCAGUGGGGAAUUGUGGACAAGGGACGCAAGUCUGAUCCAGCCAUGCCGCGUGCGGGAAGAAGGCCUUCGGGUUGUAAACCGCUUUUGUCAGGGAAGAAACGCUCUGUGUUAAUACCUCGGGGUAAUGACGGUACCUGAAGAAUAAGCACCGGCUAACUACGUGCCAGCAGCCGCAGUAACAC
rnacentral:rRNA from 1 species